rnacentral:rRNA from 1 species
CCACGCCCGCUCAGAACACUCGAAGGAAGUUGACGGGGCCCGCGACAAGCGGUGGAGCAUGUGGUUAAUUCGAAGCAACGCGAAGAACCUUACCAGGCCUUGACAUGCAGAGAACUUCCAGAGAUGGAUUGGUGCCUUCGGGAACUCUGACACAGGUGCUGCAUGGCUGUCGUCAGCUCGUGUCGUGAGAGUGUUCGGGUUAAGUCCCGUAACGAGCGCAACCCUUGUCCUUAGUUACCAGCACGUUAUGUGGGCACUCUAAGGAGACUGCCGGUGACAAACCGGAGGAAGGUGGGGAUGACGUCAAGUCAUCAUGGCCCUUACGGCCUGGGCUACACACGUGCUACAAUGGUCGGUACAAAGGGUUGCCAAGCCGCGAGGUGGAGCUAAUCCCAUAAAACCGAUCGUAGUCCGGAUCGCAGUCUGCAACUCGACUGCGUGAAGUCGGAAUCGCUAGUAAUCGUGAAUCAGAAUGUCACGGUGAAUACGUUCCCGGGCCUU